rnacentral:rRNA from 1 species
CCUACGGGUGGCAGCAGUGGGGAAUAUUGCACAAUGGGGGAAACCCUGAUGCAGCGACGCCGCGUGAGUGAAGAAGUAUUUCGGUAUGUAAAGCUCUAUCAGCAGGGAAGAUAAUGACGGUACCUGACUAAGAAGCCCCGGCUAACUACGUGCCAGCAGCCGCGGUAAUACGUAGGGGGCAAGCGUUAUCCGGAUUUACUGGGUGUAAAGGGAGCGUAGGUGGCAGGGCAAGUCAGAUGUGAAAACCCGGGGGUCAACCCCGGGAGUGCAUUUGAAACUGUCCAGCUGGAGUGCAGGAGAGGUAAGCGGAAUUCCUAGUGUAGCGGUGAAAUGCAUAGAUAUUAGGAGGAACACCAGUGGCGAAGGCGGGUUCCUGGACAUUAACUGACGCUGAGGCACGAAGGCCAGGGGAGCGAAAGGGAUUAGAUACCCGGGUAGUC